rnacentral:rRNA from 1 species
UACGGAGGGAGCUAGCGUUGUUCGGAAUUACUGGGCGUAAAGCGCGCGUAGGCGGCUUUGUAAGUUAGAGGUGAAGGCCCGGGGCUCAACCCCGGAAUUGCCUUUAAGACUGCAUCGCUUGAAUCCGGGAGAGGUGAGUGGAAUUCCGAGUGUAGAGGUGAAAUUCGUAGAUAUUCGGAAGAACACCAGUGGCGAAGGCGGCUCACUGGACCGGCAUUGACGCUGAGGUGCGAAAGCGUGGGGAGCAAACAGG